UGGUGGCCGUCUCUAUCUGUCCUAUCAGU
rnacentral:piRNA from 1 species